rnacentral:rRNA from 1 species
UAAACUCGUGCCAGCCACCGCGGUUAUACGAGAGGCUCAAGUUGACAGACAACGGCGUAAAGAGUGGUUAGGGAAAAUUCUAAAGACUAAAGCCGAACGUCCUCAGAGCUGUUUAACGCUUCCGAGUUAAGAAGAUCUUUAACGAAAGUAGCUUUACUAAACCUGACCCCACGAAAGCUGUGAAACAAACUGGGAUUAGAUACCCCACUAUGCUCAGCCCUAAAAUUCGAUAGGUCACUACGCCCCCUAUCCGCCCGGGUACUACGAGCAUCAGCUUGAAACCCAAAGGACUUGGCGGUGCUUCACAUCCGUCUAGAGGAGCCUGUCCUGUAACCGAUAACCCCCGUUAAACCUCACCCUCCCUUGUUAAUCCCGCCUAUAUACCGCCGUCGUCAGCCUACCCUGUGAAGGACUAGUAGUGAGYAAGAUUGGUAAAACCCAAAACGUCAGGUCGAGGUGUAGUAAAUGAGAGGGGAAGAGAUGGGCUACAUUUCCUGCAUCAGGAAAUACGAACAAUGAACUGAAAUAAGCAUUAGAAGGUGGAUUUAGCAGUAAGCAGAUAAACAGAGUGUUCUGCUGAAGUUAAUGGCAAUAAAGCACGUACAUAUCGCCCGU